rnacentral:lncRNA from 1 species
GUCUAUUAAUCUUUUUGGCGGCAUUUAAGUCAUUUCAAAACAUGACAUCAUACAAAUGAAACCGCUAAACUUGAAAGUUUUCUGUUACGUGAACCAUCGAAAUUCGUAUGAUAUUGUAUUAAAACUGAUUUUUUGAGGUAGGUUUUAUUUUAUUUUCUAUUCUAUUGCAUUAUUCGCAUAUUUACCCAUUUCAGCAAGUCAACAUGGCGGCUCCUUAGUUACAAAAUGUCAACUUUUGAUUUGACGGAAGCUUACGUGAAAAACAUGUAAAUUAAAAAUGACAAAUGUUGGGUUUGAGAACUUAAAGAAUUAAAAAGUUUUUUUCUAGCAGUUAUUCUCGAAAUAACCUACGCAAGUUACAUAUUUAUAAAGAUAUUUGAGCUUUAUCUAACAGGGAGUAAAAAAGAACAGCCACAUACACAGCAUACCACCCUCGCUUCAGUUUUUUAAUGACCAUAUUUGUCCUAUUAGAAUCAAAAUAAUUCAUGGAAGCCAUAGAUUGUUGGAAAUUUACACAUGGCCUGGGCCGUGAUAUUCGUUAAUUUUAACCCUCGCUAACGCUCAGGAUAAAAUUUGAAUAUCACAGCCCAGGCCAUGUGUAAAUUUCCAACAAUCUAUGGCUUCCAUGAAUUAUUUCUUAAUUAUUUGUAUGUUUAAUAAAAUAAUACUAUUGUUACUUCUAUGAACAGUAAACCACAAUGUUGUGUUUUAUACAGAAUUGAUAGUCUUGACAAUACAAUUAAAUAUAUGUUGAUGGAUAAUAACCAUCACAUAAUGAAGUUACCAUACAAAAUUCUGGAUGAGUAAUUAAAUGGCACAAUAAACAAUACACAUGUAAUGACACAUAACUUAGUUGAAAUCUGAUAUUGUAAGUUCAACAAACAAUUAAACACUGACUUUGAUAACCUUGAUUAUUGUAAAUACCAUGUAGAUUUAGUUUGAGUAGACAAAAGAUGCUAACUAUAUCAACCAGAUUGAAUGAAAUUUCUAAAGGAGCAAAUUGACACAAAAUCUCUUUAGAAUUUUUUUUAUCUAGUCAAUUAAUAUUUUUCCAUGCAAGUAAUUCAAUUUUUAGUAUAUUUUAAUAACAUUUUCUAUCUUAAUUGUAAGACUGGGUUAAGGAACUGCCUAACAGAUGUCUAAUGCAAGUAUGUGUAUUUUGAGAGAGGGGUCAGAUCAGAUGUCAGAAGGUGCAAUAUAGGAAUAAAAUUUUGAUGUUGCGCAUUACCAGGUCUGGUAAUCAAGGAUUUUAAAAUUACAAAACUGUAAGAUUGAAAGAAGAUUUUAGUUAUGAAUUAAUGGGACAGAAAUUAACAAAACAAAAUUUCCAAAAAUCAAUUACUUAAAGGACAACAUAGUCUACAAUCAAAGCGCUGUAAGCGCUGAAGACAGUUAACCAAAAACCAAGGCAACCGUAAUUAUGAAAACUGUGGCAAUGUUGCCUCAACAUUAAACAUUCAUAUAUAGUACAUUCAUGUUUAUCUAAUGAUUUAUUUAUAAAGGCAAAUAAUUUAUAUGUUAUCAAGGUUUC